rnacentral:rRNA from 1 species
UACGGAGGGGGCUAGCGUUGUUCGGAAUUACUGGGCGUAAAGCGCACGUAGGCGGCUUUGUAAGUAAGAGGUGAAAGCCUGGUGCUCAACAUCAGAACUGCCUUUUAGACUGCAUCGCUUGAAUCCAGGAGAGGUGAGUGGAAUUCCGAGUGUAGAGGUGAAAUUCGUAGAUAUUCGGAAGAACACCAGUGGCGAAGGCGGCUCACUGGACUGGUAUUGACGCUGAGGUGCGAAAGCGUGGGGAGCAAACAGG